UACGUAGGGGGCUAGCGUUGUCUGGAUUUAUUGGGCGUAAAGAGCGUGUAGGCGGCCAGGUAGGUCUGCUGUGAAAACUCGAGGCUCAACCUCGAGACGUCGGCGGAAACCAUCUGGCUAGAGUCCGGAAGAGGAGAGUGGAAUUCCUGGUGUAGCGGUGAAAUGCGCAGAUAUCAGGAGGAACACCGGUGGCGAAGGCGGAUCUCUGGGCCAUUACUGACGCUGAGGAGCGAAAGCGUGGGGAGCGAACAGG
rnacentral:rRNA from 1 species